rnacentral:rRNA from 1 species
GUGGGGAAUAUUGGGCAAUGGGGGAAACCCUGACCCAGCGACGCCGCGUGGGUGAAGAAAUCCCUCGGGAUGUAAAGCCCUGUUGUAUGGGAAGAGCAGAAGACGGUACCAUACGAGGAAGCCCCGGCAAACUACGUGCCAGCAGCCGCGGUAAUACGUAGGGGGCAAGCGUUGUCCGGAAUUACUGGGCGUAAAGCGCACGCAGGCUGAAUUAUAAGUCGGUAGUCAAAUACGGAGGCUCAACUUCCGGAUAUCUAUCGAUACUGUAAAUCUAGAGUAUGUGAGAGGGAAGCGGAAUGCCCGGUGUAGCGGUGAAAUGCGUAGAUAUCGGGAGGAACACCAGUGGCGAAGGCGGCUUCCUGGCACAAUACUGACGCUCAUGUGCGAAAGCUAGGGCAGCGAACGGGAUUAGAUACCCUAGUAGUCC